rnacentral:rRNA from 1 species
GACGAACGCUGGCGGCGUGCCUAAUACAUGCAAGUCGAACGCAGUGGGGACGGGUGAGUAACACGUGGGUAACCUGACAUCAGAGGGGAUAACCCUUGGAAACAGGUGCUAAACCGAUACUGAUGGAGGAACCCGCGGUGGCUUAGCUAGUUGGUGAGGUAACGGCUCACCAAGGCCAGGAUGCAUAGCCGACCUGAGAGGGUGACCUGCCACACUGGGACUGAGACACGGCCCAGACUCCUACUGUAGGCAGCAGUAGGGAAUCUUCGGCAAUGGACGAAAGUCUGACCGAGCCACGCCGCGUGAGUGAAGAAGGUUUUCGGAUCGUAAAACUCUGUUGUUAGAGAAGCGGUAUCUAACCAGAAAGCCACGGCUAACUACGUGCCAGCAGCCGCGGUAAUUC